UAGCUUUAGCGAUGGAUCGGUUGAUUCGCGUAUCGAUGAAAAACGCAGCAAGCUGCGUUAUUUACCACGAAUUGCAGACGCUUAGAGUGGUGAAGUUUUGAACGCACAGCGCCGUUGGGUUUUCCCUUCGGCACGUCUGGCUCA
rnacentral:rRNA from 1 species